UACGUAGGGGGCUAGCGUUGUCCGGAAUCAUUGGGCGUAAAGAGCGUGUAGGCGGCCCGGUAAGUCCGCUGUGAAAGUCGGGGGCUCAACCCUCGGAUGCCGGUGGAUACUGUCGGGCUCGAGUACGGAAGAGGCGAGUGGAAUCCUGGUGUAGCGGUGAAAUGCGCAGAUAUCAGGAGGAACACCUAUUGCGAAGGCAGCUCGCUGGGACGUUACUGACGCUGAGACGCGAAAGCGUGGGGAGCAAACAGG
rnacentral:rRNA from 1 species